UACAGAGGGUGCAAGCGUUAAUCGGAAUUACUGGGCGUAAAGCGCGCGUAGGUGGUUUGUUAAGUUGGAUGUGAAAUCCCCGGGCUCAACCUGGGAACUGCAUCCAAAACUGGCAAGCUAGAGUAUGGUAGAGGGUGGUGGAAUUUCCUGUGUAGCGGUGAAAUGCGUAGAUAUAGGAAGGAACACCAGUGGCGAAGGCGACCACCUGGACUGAUACUGACGCUGAGGAGCGAAAGCGUGGGGAGCGAACAGG
rnacentral:rRNA from 1 species